rnacentral:rRNA from 1 species
UACGGGGGGGGCAAGCGUUGUUCGGAAUUACUGGGCGUAAAGGGCUCGUAGGCGGCCAACUAAGUCAGACGUGAAAUCCCUCGGCUUAACCGGGGAACUGCGUCUGAUACUGGAUGGCUUGAACCCGGGAGAGGGAUGCGGAAUUCCAGGUGUAGCGGUGAAAUGCGUAGAUAUCUGGAGGAACACCGGUGGCGAAGGCGACAUCCUGGACCGGAAUUGACGCUGAGUGAGCGAAAGCCAGGGGAGCAAACGGG